AGGCUAUUAGUUUAAAAAAAUACUUGAUUUCGGCUCAAGAGCUUGUGGUUAAAGUCCAUAAUUACCUG
rnacentral:tRNA from 1 species